GCUGCAGAUCAUUCGGGUCGGCGGUCAGCCUAUACCAUUGCAGACGUACAUGCAGAUCGCCAUGCUUGGCAUCUUCCAGAGCGGUGGAUUUGUUUAAUGAGUGAAACCGAAGUUGAUGUAGAAAAAUAAAAUCCACGCUCUGACUUUUAUUCCGCAUAAUAAAAUAAUUGAGGAAAA